CGGGUGAGUAAUGCCUAGGAAUCUGCCUGGUAGUGGGGGACAACGUUUCGAAAGGAACGCUAAUACCGCAUACGUCCUACGGGAGAAAGCAGGGGACCUUCGGGCCUUGCGCUAUCAGAUGAGCCUAGGUCGGAUUAGCUAGUUGGUGAGGUAAUGGCUCACCAAGGCGACGAUCCGUAACUGGUCUGAGAGGAUGAUCAUUCACACUGGAACUGAGACACGGUCCAGACUCCUACGGGAGGCAGCAGCG
rnacentral:rRNA from 1 species